UACGGAGGAUGCAAGCGUUAUCCGGAAUGAUUGGGCGUAAAGCGUCCGCAGGUGGCUAUGUAAGUCUGCUGUUAAAGAGUGAGGCUCAACCUCAUAAGAGCAGUGGAAACUACAUAGCUAGAGUGCGUUCGGGGCAGAGGGAAUUCCUGGUGUAACGGUGAAAUGUGUUGAUAUCAGGAGGAACACCCAUGGCGAAGGCAGCAAACUGGUCAUCAACUGACGCUGAGGCACGAAAGCGUGGGGAUCAAACAGG
rnacentral:rRNA from 1 species